rnacentral:tRNA from 1 species
AGAAGCUUAGGUUAACCACAAACCAGAGGCCUUCAAAACCUCAAAUAGAAAUUUUACCUUCUAGCUUCUG